GCGUUCGUAGCUCAGUGGAUAGAGCACAGCACUCCGACUGCUGGUGUGGUAGGUUCGACUCCUAUCGAGCGCGCCA
rnacentral:tRNA from 1 species